rnacentral:rRNA from 1 species
AUUGAACGCUGGCGGCAUGCCUUACACAUGCAAGUCGAACGGUAACAGGUCUUCGGAUGCUGACGAGUGGCGAACGGGUGAGUAAUACAUCGGAACGUGCCUGGUAGUGGGGGAUAACUACUCGAAAGAGUGGCUAAUACCGCAUGAGAUCUACGGAUGAAAGCAGGGGAUCGCAAGACCUUGUGCUACUAGAGCGGCCGAUGGCAGUAUUAGGUAGUUGGUGGGAUAAAAGCUUACCAAGCCGUCGAUCUGUAGCUGGUCUGAGAGGACGAUCAGACACACUGGGACUGUGAAACGGCCCAGAAUCAUCCGGGAGGCAGCAGUGGGGAAGUUUGGAAAAUGGGCGCAAGCCUGAUCCAGCAAUGCCGCGGGCAGGAUGAAGGCCUGCGGGUUGUAAACUGCUUUUGUACGGAACGAAAAGCCCCGGGUUAAUACCCUGGGGUCAUGACGGUACCGUAAGAAUAAGCACCGGCUAACUACGUGCCAGCAGCCGCCGUAA